rnacentral:rRNA from 1 species
GACGAACGCUGGCGGCGUGCUUAACACAUGCAAGUCGAACGGAAAGGCCCCAGCUUUCUGGGGUACACGAGUGGCGAACGGGUGAGUAACACGUGUGUAACCUGCCCCGCACUUCGGGAUAAGCCUAGGAAACUGGGUCUAAUACCGGAUAGGACCUCCUCGUGAGGGUGUGGUGGAAGGUUUUUCGGUGUGGGAUGGGCCCGCGGCCUAUCAGCUUGUUGGUGGGGUAGUGGGCUACCAAGGCGGCGACGGGUAGCCGGCCUGAGAGGGUGGACGGCCACAUUGGGACUGAGAGACGGCCCAGACUCCUACGGGAGGCAGCAGUGGGGAAUAUUGCACAAUGGGCGGAAGCCUGAUGCAGCGACGCCGCGUGGGGGAUGACGGCCUUCGGGUUGUAAACACCUUUCGCCAUCGACGAAGGUUUUCUGACGGUAGAUGGAGAAGAAGCACCGGCUAACUACGUG